rnacentral:tRNA from 1 species
GCCUCCGUAGCUCAGUUGGUAGAGCANNGUCGUAGGUUCGAAUCCUACCGGGGGUACCA